GAGGAUGCGAGCGUUAUCCGGAUUUAUUGGGUUUAAAGGGUGCGCAGGCGGAAAGGCAAGUCAGCGGUAAAAUGUCGGUGCUCAACACAGGCCGGCCGUUGAAACUUCCCUUCUAGAGUGGGCGAGAAGUAUGCGGAAUGCGUGGUGUAGCGGUGAAAUGCAUAGAUAUCACGCAGAACUCCGAUUGCGAAGGCAGCAUACCGGCGCCCGACUGACGCUCAUGCACGAAAGCGUGGGGAUCAAA
rnacentral:rRNA from 1 species